rnacentral:rRNA from 1 species
GGUCAAGCGAAUAAGCGCACACGGUGGAUGCCUUGGCGGUCAGAGGCGAUGAAGGACGUGGCAGCCUGCGAAAAGUAUCGGGGAGCUGGCAACAAGCUUUGAUCCGGUAAUGUCCGAAUGGGGAAACCCACCCGCUUGCGGGUAUCCUGCAGUGAAUACAUAGCUGCUGGAAGCGAACCUGGUGAACUGAAAUAUCUAAGUAACCAGAGGAAAAGAAAUCAACCGAGAUUCCGUAAGUAGCGACGAGCGAACGCGGACUAGCCCUUAAGCUGAUUUGGUUCUAGGAAAACGCUCUGGAAAGAGCGGCCAUAGAAGGUGAUAGCCCUGUAUCUGAAAGGGCCAUUUCAGUGAAGACGAGUAGGGCGGGGCACGUGAAACCCUGUCUGAACAUGGGGGGACCAUCCUCCAAGGCUAAAUACUACUGACCGACCGAUAGUGAACCAGUACCGUGAGGGAAAGGCGAAAAGAACCCCGGAGAGGGGAGUGAAAUAGAACCUGAAACCGUGUGCGUACAAGCAGUAGGAGCUCCGCAAGGAGUGACUGCGUACCUUUUGUAUAAUGGGUCAGCGACUUACUGUUCGUGGCAAGCUUAACCGUAUAGGGGAGGCGAAGGGAAACCGAGUCUGAUAAGGGCGCAUAGUCGCGGGCAGUAGACCCGAAACCGGGUGAUCUAGUCAUGCCCAGGGUGAAGGUGCGGUAACACGCACUGGAGGCCCGAACCCACUCCCGUUGCAAAGGUAGGGGAUGAGGUGUGAUUAGGAGUGAAAAGCUAAUCGAACCCGGAGAUAGCUGGUUCUCCUCGAAAGCUAUUUAGGUAGCGCCUCAUAUGUAUCCUCUCGGGGUAGAGCACUGUUAUGGCUAGGGGGUCAUCGCGACUUACCAAACCAUUGCAAACUCCGAAUACCGAGACGGACUGUAUGGGAGACACACGGCGGGUGCUAACGUCCGUCGUGAAAAGGGAAACAACCCAGACCCACAGCUAAGGUCCCAAAUUUUGUGCUAAGUGGAAAACCAUGUGGAAAGGCACAGACAGCCAGGAGGUUGGCUUAGAAGCAGCCACCCUUUAAAGAAAGCGUAAUAGCUCACUGGUCGAGUCGGUCUGCGGGGAAGAUUUAACGGGGCUAAGCACAGAACCGAAGCUUGGGGUGCAUAACUUUGUUAUGCGCGGUAGAGGAGCGUUCCGUAAGCCGUUGAAGGUGGAUUGAGAAGUCUGCUGGAGGUAUCGGAAGUGCGAAUGCUGACAUGAGUAACGAUAAUGCGGGUGAAAAACCCGCACGCCGAAAGCCCAAGGUUUCCUUGCGCAACGUUAAUCGGCGCAGGGUGAGUCGGCCCCUAAGGCGAGGACGAAAGUCGUAGUCGAUGGGAAGCAGGUUAAUAUUCCUGCACCUCGCGUAAGUGCGAUGGAGGGACGGAGAAGGUUAGGUGUACCAGGCGUUGGUUGUCCUGGGGAAAGGCGGUAGGUUUGGAUCUUUGGCAAAUCCGGGAUCCUUUAAGACCGAGCACCGAGACGAGCCUUUAAGGCGAAGUCACUGAUACCACGCUUCCAGGAAAAGCUCCUAAGCUUCAGCUUACGCAGACCGUACCGUAAACCGACACAGGUGGGUAGGAUGAGAAUUCUCAGGCGCUUGAGAGAACUCGGGUGAAGGAACUAGGCAACAUGGCACCGUAACUUCGGGAGAAGGUGCACCCUUUUGGUGGCUCAUGCGAGCUAUAGCUGAAGAGGGUCGCAGUAACCAGGCCGCUGCGACUGUUUAUCAAAAACACAGCACUCUGCAAACACGAAAGUGGACGUAUAGGGUGUGACGCCUGCCCGGUGCUGGAAGGUUAAUUGAUGGGGUCAGCCGCAAGGCGAAGCUCUUGAUCGAAGCCCCAGUAAACGGCGGCCGUAACUAUAACGGUCCUAAGGUAGCGAAAUUCCUUGUCGGGUAAGUUCCGACCUGCACGAAUGGCGUAACGACAGCGGCGCUGUCUCCACCCGAGACUCAGUGAAAUUGAAAUCGCUGUGAAGAUGCAGCGUUCCCGUGGCAAGACGGAAAGACCCCGUGAACCUUUACUAUAGCUUUACACUGAACGUUGAGUUCGUCUGUGUAGGAUAGGUGGGAGGCUAUGAAACCAUGGCGCUAGCUGUGGUGGAGCCAUCCUUGAAAUACCACCCUGUCGUGCUUGACGUUCUAACCUGGGCCCAUUAUCUGGGUCGGGGACCGUGUAUGGUGGGUAGUUUGACUGGGGCGGUCUCCUCCUAAAGAGUAACGGAGGAGCUCGAAGGUACGCUCAGCGCGGUCGGACAUCGCGCACUGUGUGCAAAGGCAUAAGCGUGCUUGACUGCAAGAUCGACGGAUCAAGCAGGUAGGAAACUAGGACUUAGUGAUCCGGUGGUUCUGUAUGGAAGGGCCAUCGCUCAACGGAUAAAAGGUACUCCGGGGAUAACAGGCUGAUACCGCCCAAGAGUUCAUAUCGACGGCGGUGUUUGGCACCUCGAUGUCGGCUCAUCACAUCCUGGGGCUGUAGUCGGUCCCAAGGGUAUGGCUGUUCGCCAUUUAAAGUGGUACGCGAGCUGGGUUCAGAACGUCGUGAGACAGUUCGGUCCCUAUCUGCCAUGGGCGUUGGAGAUUUGAGAGGGGCUGCUCCUAGUACGAGAGGACCGGAGUGGACGAACCUCUGGUGUUCCGGUUGUCACGCCAGUGGCAUUGCCGGGUAGCUAUGUUCGGAAGCGAUAACCGCUGAAAGCAUCUAAGCGGGAAGCGCGCCUCAAGAUGAGAUCUCCCGGGGCACAAGCCCCCUGAAGGAACCAUGUAGACUACGUGGUUGAUAGGUCAGGUGUGUAAGUACAGCAAUGUAUUGAGCUAACUGAUACUAAUGAUCCGUGCGGCUUGACCAU